UUGAACGCUGGCGGCAGGCCUAACACAUGCAAGUCGAGCGCGAAGGGUUUUCGGACUGAGUAAAGCGGCGGACGGGUGAGUAACGCGUGGGCAUCUGCCCAGUAGUGGGGGACAACAGCCGGAAACGGCUGCUAAUACCGCAUACGCCCUACGGGGGAAAGGGGGGGAUCUUCGGACCUCUCGGUAUUGGAUGAGCCCGCGUCGGAUUAGCUAGUUGGUAGGGUAAAGGCCUACCAAGGCUACGAUCCGUAACUGGUCUGAGAGGAUGAGCAGUCACACUGGAACUGAGACACGGUCCAGACUCCUACGGGAGGCAGCAGUGGGGAAUAUUGGACAAUGGGGGCAACCCUGAUCCAGCCAUGCCGCGUGUGUGAAGAAGGCCUUAGGGUUGUAAAGCACUUUCAGUGGGGAGAAAGGUUUGUCACCCAAUACGUGAUGAAAUUGAUGUUACCCACAGAAGAAGCACCGGCUAACUCCGUGCCAGCAGCCGCGGUAA
rnacentral:rRNA from 1 species